UAGUCGAAUUUUUUAUGGCUUCACAUCGGCUUCUUCCUUCACCCCGUCGACUCAUCUCUCCUCUUCCUGCCUCGUGGGAUCCGACCAUCGCGUGGAAUGGCCAACAGCAAUCUUCCUCGAAGGAUCAUCAAGGAGACGCAGCGGCUUCUCAGCGAACCAGCUCCGGGAAUAAGUGCUUCCCCGUCGGAAGACAACAUGCGCUACUUCAACGUGAUGAUUCUCGGGCCGUCCCAGUCUCCGUAUGAAGGAGGAGUAUUCAAGCUUGAGUUGUUUUUACCCGAAGAAUAUCCAAUGGCUGCCCCAAAGGUCCGCUUCCUCACCAAAAUUUAUCAUCCUAAUAUUGACAAGCUUGGAAGAAUAUGCCUAGACAUUCUAAAAGACAAGUGGAGUCCAGCUCUCCAAAUUAGAACAGUACUUCUCAGUAUUCAAGCUCUUCUCAGUGCCCCAAAUCCAGAUGAUCCACUUUCAGACAACAUUGCAAAGCAUUGGAAGACAAACGAAGCAGAAGCAGUGGAAACAGCCAAGGAAUGGACCCGUCUAUAUGCUUCUGGGGCAUGAAAUGGACAACACCAUCCAUUUCAUGACAGCUACAGUGGAGUUUUAACAAAAAGUAUUUGUUUUGCUCACAGCAACUUCCAGGCUAAUCUAUGGUGGGCAUUCAGUUUCAUCAGAGUUAGCAAUUGUGCCCAAGCAUCUCCGAGAAGUAGGUUGCGUCAGUGCUACACUGUAUUUGCUUGUUUGAUGGAGGCUUACGGAAGAACAAUGAACUACAAUGGAGCAUGGGGAUCAAAGAUAACCCAGUUUGUGCCCUGUGGUUCCUACAAAUCAACCCCUGGUUGCAUUUUUUGCGCUUUAGCUGCCAUCGCCAAACUCAGCUUGUAACAGAUGUUGUUCUGCUAGUGCUGUUAUCAGCACUCCCACCCGGCCUUGUGCACGUUGGAGCAGCUUGGGCUGCUCCAUCGAGGCCACUGCAAGGAUGGUUGUGAGCUGCUCUUCUUAUUGAUUGGAUCAUAUUAUUAGUGAACAAUGGGAGAUCAAAUGCUCAGGAUGAGCUACAGCUCAGCUGUGUUAAUGAAAGGGAACCUGCUGUGAUGAUGCCGCAGAUGCUGGUACUGGUAGGGCCACCUUCUUCCUGAGAAGCCAAUAAAAUCGAAUCAAAGAAGGUGAUGAAGAAAGGGAAGCGAGUGAGUCGUGUUCUGUUUGACUGUUGAACUGAGAGUAAUGCUGAAUCCGUCCUCAAGUUCUUUUA